AUCUUUUGUGGUUUCUAAGUAUGAUUGGGUUUUCACAUGCAUGUGUGAGGUGUGCCACCCUCAAACCUUGUUAUGACGUCGGCACUUACCCAUCUGACA